rnacentral:rRNA from 1 species
CCCGGAGAGACAGCAGAAUGAAGGUCAAGCUGAAGACUUUACCAGACAAGCUGAGAGGUGGUGCAUGGCCGUCGCCAGCUCGUGCCGUGAGAUGUCCUGUUAAGUCAGGUAACGAGCGAGAUCCCUGCCUCUAGUUGCCACCAUUACUCUCAGGAGUAGUGGGGCGAAUUAGCGGGACCGCCGCAGUUAAUGCGGAGGAAGGAAGGGGCCACGGCAGGUCAGUAUGCCCCGAAACUCUGGGGCCACACGCGGGCUGCAAUGGUAAUGACAAUGGGUUCCAAAUCCGAAAGGAGGAGGUAAUCCCCAAACAUUACCACAGUUAUGACUGAGGGCUGCAACUCGCCCUCACGAAUAUGGAAUCCCUAGUAACUGCGUGUCAUUAUCGCGCGGUGAAUACGUCCCUGCUCCUUGCACACACCGCCCGUCGUUUCAUUGAAGUGAGCUUUUAGCGAGGUGACGUCUAAUUGGCGUUAUCGAACUUGAGGUUCGUGACAAGGGAAAAGUCGUAACAAGGUGACCGUAGGGGAACCUGCGGUCG